UUUAAUUAUAUCGAUGAACAAAUUUAAAUAUAUGAGUAUUUCGAUAAUACUAACGUGUGCACAAAUGAAUUACUUAUUUAUUAUAUUUUUUAAAUUUACGCAGUAAUUCUUUAAUGCACUUGCAUCCUCAUUGACGAACUUUUACGUAGAUACGAUAGACCGAGGUCGUUGAUUUACUUCCGACUAAAUACACGAUAAAAAAUUAUUCAUCAGUUUAGUACAAUAUGUAAUCACUAGAGAGCGUUGUUAAAUAACAACGUUGAUCAACUUUAAUGACACAAUAAAAAAAUAUUUAUUUUUUAAUUCUAAACUUUAUUCGUCGAUAUAAUCUUUUUUAGGAAUAUUAAUGUGCGAUUAAUGAUGAAGUAUGUUGUCUUGUAAUGAAAACAUUGCGUAUUUAUAGUGUGCAUGUUUCUGAAUUAAUUACUUGCGUUGCAUUUAGAAUAUAAUAACACGUAGCAUUGUAAAUUGCAAAAACAUACAAUGGCAUUGCGAAAGUUGAUGCAUCCAAGAAAUAAAUAUAAAAAAGGCCCUAAUUUUAAACAACUUGCUCUUUUGUAUCCAGAAUUUCGCAAAGUUGCAGUUACGGAUCUCACAGGAAAAGUGCAUAUUGAUUUUAAAAAUGAAGAAACUUUGCGUAUUCUUACCAGAGUAUUGUUAAAACAUGACUUUGAUCUCACAGUAAAGAUACCGCCAAAUAAAUUAGUACCAACUCUACCUUUACGUUUGAAUUAUGUUUUGUGGAUCGAAGAUUUGAUGACACAUGCCUCUUUCACCAAAAUGGAAGAUGUUAAAGGCAUUGAUAUUGGAACUGGAGCAGUUUGUAUAUAUCCUUUAUUGCUGGCAAAGAUGUAUGGAUGUUGUAUGUUUGGAACAGAAGUUGAUGACACAAGUAUAGAAUCAGCAAUAGAAAAUGUAAAAAAUAAUAAUCUAGGAAAUUUAAUUCAAGUGAUCAAAGUGGAUAAAGAUAAAAUUCUGAAAGGAACAGUAGAAGAAAAUGAAACUUUUCAUUUUAUAAUGUGUAAUCCUCCAUUUUUUGAAACUGAAGAUACCUCGGAUAAAGUAAUAAAGCAACAACCACCAAGAAAUGCUCCUACAGGCAGUAAUAAGGAACUAAGUAUUGAAGGAGGUGAAAGAUUAUUUGUAACAAAAAUGAUUGAAGAGAGUAUGCAGAUAAGUGAAAAGAUUAAAAUAUAUAGUUCUAUGCUUGGAAAAAAAAAUAAUUUACUCUACUUUGUCAAGUUAUUAAAGAAAUAUAAUAUAAACAAUUUCACAUGGACAGAAUUUUGUCAAGGACACACAAAACGGUGGGGUUUGGCAUGGUCUUUUUUGUCAAUAGAUGUUUGUGAUUUGACAAAAGCACCUGUUAUAAGAGAAAGCAGUAUCAUGGAUAAAUCUUUGAAAGAUCACCCCCCUUUGGAAAUAAUAUUUCCCAUGCAAGAUAAAUAUGUGCUCAUUGACAAUGUUAUUACAGAAUUAAAGAAGAUAAUUAACAACUUGCAGAUAAAUAUAAAAGAGUUAGAGUUACAAAAAAAUACAUUGAGUGAAUGGGGAUGUCAACUCACAGCACAAAAUGAUACAUGGUCGCAUGCACGUAGAAAACGUCGUUUAGCUGAAAGACAAAGUAAAGAUUGCAAGGAAGAAAAUAUAGGAAGUACUAUUGUUACAGAGCAAAUUAAUGUGGACUCUGAAGUUAAAACAAUACAACAUUUGAAUGUAAAAAAUGAAGAUACACAGUUCGUACCUACAAAAGACAAAGAAACAUCUGAUCAUAAAGAUCCUUUGUUAGUUUUCAAUCUAUUUCUUAGCAUAUUAGAGGAUGAACAAGAUCCUGAAAAAAACCAUGUAAAGAUUUGUCUAUUUUUCGAAAGUGGAAGUGGUGGCAGAAAUAUAUUGGAAACAUUGAGACAAUAUUUGAUAAACAAAUUAAAUGUUCGAAUAUAUUUUCAACAAUUCUGUUCUAAAACAAAUAAAAAGAGAAGAAAGAAAUUCAAGAAAGCAAAGAAAGAUCCUCCUUCUAAGUUAGAUAUACAAGGAGAAGAAAAAAAACUCAAUAUUUCGUCAGCCGAGGACAGUGCAGAUUCAUCUUAAAUUGUAUUACUUUUGUAUAACAAUGAGAAACAACGUAUUUCACACAAUAAUUUUAUCAACAUAUACAAAAGGCUGCACGGAAAUCACCCAUACAUGAUUGGGUCCUUGCAACAAGAUGAUAGGAUACUGCUACUUUUAAAGAACGCGGACCAUGAUAACGAAGAUUUAAAUCCAGAGCAUGUUCCAAGAAUCUAAGCGAUAAUUCAUACUCUCCAACGGCAUGUAAUAUUAAAGAAAUGUUACUCUAAGAGCUACUUCUGGAUGAUCUUCUCCACAAACUAACAAUGCGAGAUAACGUGCUCUAUAUAGUAAUCGUAACGACACGGAGACUUGACCAUUUGCAAAAGAAUAUAAUGCGAGAUGAAUCUAUUAAUAAGAAAAAAAAUAAAUAAAUUUCCAACAAUGUUACGAAUCUAGCGGUGAGAAAAGAAUAUAAAUUUCCAACAAUAUUUAAAUAAAUACGAUUAUAGAAAGGAAUUCAUUUCGUUUCAAACACUUACAUAUUCUGUGAUAGUAUAUGGAUGAUCUAUACCAUUCACUCUUUCUGACAUAAGUACAGCUUUUUGUUGGGUUGCUAACGCUUCUCCAUGAUCUCCCAUUAUGUAAUUCAACCUUGCAAGCAUUCUAAGGCAUUGUGCAAUUUCAGGAUGCAUGGCUCCAUAAACAUUGUUCAAUAAAUUUAAUGCUUCACUAAUUAAUUCAUAUCCAUCCUUCAAAUAACCUUGUUGAAUCUUGCUCUGUCCAGUUGUAUAAAAAUUAUAAGCAUCACUAGCCUGUAAUAAUAUUAAACGAUUGUUGUCUUUUAUUUUUAUUCUUUUUAAUGUCAUGUACUUUUUUGUGCACUAAACUUGUGUACUCACCCUAGGAUUGAUAUGUUUAACAACAGGAAAUAUAUUCAAGAUGUCUUCCUCAAAGAACGUGGCUCUAUUUCUAUUUUCAAAAUUGUAUUCACGAAGUAAUAUCUGAAUACCCGUUUUUAUGCAAAAACCACGAAGCAAAGAAAUCUUUUGCAAAUGGAAAUGUUCGAUCGUAGCAUCCAAUGAUUCCGGGGUUGGUGUUUCCCAAUCGUAAUAACUCUUCAGGUCUGCUUUAAUUUGUUGCCAAAGUGAUUUUGGUGUCAAAGAUGCCCAUUCAACUUCCGACUGUUGUGGUCCAUUGUUUCUACCUUUUCUUUUAUUACGUCUUUUUGCUGUUUUGCUUUGCAACUGAAAAUAAACAAUAGUUAUCGUGCG